rnacentral:piRNA from 1 species
UCAGACGUUUGCCUGAGUGAACAAAUCUA